UACGUAGGUGGCAAGCGUUGUCCGGAUUUACUGGGCGUAAAGAGCGCGCAGGCGGUCGUUCAAGUCGCGUGUGAAAGCCCCCGGCUCAACUGGGGAGGGUCACGCGAUACUGAUCGACUCGAAGGCAGGAGAGGGAAGUGGAAUUCCCGGUGUAGUGGUGAAAUGCGUAGAUAUUGGGAGGAACACCAGUGGCGAAGACGGCUCACUGGACCGGUACUGACGCUGAUGCGCGAAAGCGUGGGGAGCAAACAGG
rnacentral:rRNA from 1 species